rnacentral:rRNA from 1 species
AAGAUUGCGCAAUGGGGGGAACCCCGACGCAGCAACGCCGCGUGAGCGAAGAAGGCCGUCGGGUCGUAAAGCCCCGUCUUGAGGGAUGAUAGUGACAGUACUUCCGGAGGAAGCCCUGGCUAACUACGCGCCAGCAGCCGCGGUAAUACGUAGGGGGCAAGCGUUGUCCGGAUUUACUGGGCGUAAAGGGCGCGUAGGCGGUAGAUUAAGUCAGAUGUGAAAGUCCAGGGCUCAACCCUGGAAUUGCAUUUGAAACUGGUUUACUUGAGUGCAGGAGAGGAGAGCGGAAUUCCUAGUGUAGCGGUGAAAUGCGUAGAUAUUAGGAAGAACACCAGUGGCGAAGGCGGCUCUCUGGACUGUAACUGACGCUGAGGCGCGAAAGCGUGGGUAGCGAACA